rnacentral:pre_miRNA from 1 species
AUAAUAUCCCUCUGUCCGGAAAUACUUCUCAUCAAAAUGAAUAAAAGGGAAUGUAUCUAGACAUAUUUUAGUUUUAGAUACAUCCUUUUUUGUCCAUUUUGAUGACAAGUAUUUUCGGACGGAGAGAGUAGAUG